rnacentral:tRNA from 1 species
GGUGGUUAAGCAUUUGGCUGCUAACCAAAACGCUGGCAGUUCGAAUCUGGCAGCCACUC